rnacentral:rRNA from 1 species
UGGGGAAUAUUGGGCAAUGGGCGAAAGCCUGACCCAGCGACGCCGCGUGAGGGAAGAAGGUCUUCGGAUUGUAAACCUCUUUCAGCAGGGAAGAAGCAAGUGACGGUACCUGCAGAAGAAGUCACGGCUAACUACGUGCCAGCAGCCGCGGUAAUACGUAGGUGGCGAGCGUUAUCCGGAAUUACUGGGUGUAAAGGGUGUGUAGGCGGGAGAGCAAGUCAGAUGUGAAAAUUAUGGGCUCAACCCAUAACCUGCGUCUGAAACUGUUUUCUUGAGUAUCGGAGAGGUAAUCGGAAUUCCUUGUGUAGCGGUGAAAUGCGUAGAUAUAAGGAAGAACACCAGUGGCGAAGGCGGAUUACUGGACGACAACUGACGGUGAGGCGCGAAAGCGUGGGGAGCAAAC